GUAUCAAUGAUGAGAACAAUUGUCUGAGGAUGCAAAUGACUCAUGCCAAUAGAAAUAUGGGGUCC